rnacentral:rRNA from 1 species
UUAUAACCGGCGAUUUCCGAAUGGGGAAACCCAGUGUGAUUCGUCACACUAUCAUUAACUGAAUCCAUAGGUUAAUGAGGCGAACCGGGGGAACUGAAACAUCUAAGUACCCCGAGGAAAAGAAAUCAACCGAGAUUCCCCCAGUAGCGGCGAGCGAACGGGGAGCAGCCCAGAGCCUGAAUCAGUGUGUGUGUUAGUGGAAGCGUCUGGAAAGGCGCGCGAUACAGGGUGACAGCCCCGUACACAAAAAUGCACAUGCUGUGAGCUCGAUGAGUAGGGCGGGACACGUGGUAUCCUGUCUGAAUAUGGGGGGACCAUCCUCCAAGGCUAAAUACUCCUGACUGACCGAUAGUGAACCAGUACCGUGAGGGAAAGGCGAAAAGAACCCCGGCGAGGGGAGUGAAAAAGAACCUGAAACCGUGUACGU